GUGCCAGCCGCCGCGGUACUACGGAGGGGGCUAGCGUUGUUCGGAAUUACUGGGCGUAAAGCGCACGUAGGCGGAUUCGAAAGUCAGAGGUGAAAUCCCAGGGCUCAACCUUGGAACUGCCUUUGAAACUCCCAGUCUUGAGGUCGAGAGAGGUGAGUGGAAUUCCGAGUGUAGAGGUGAAAUUCGUAGAUAUUCGGAGGAACACCAGUGGCGAAGGCGGCUCACUGGCUCGAUACUGACGCUGAGGUGCGAAAGCGAGGGGAGCAAACAGGAUUAGAAACCCCGGUAGUCC
rnacentral:rRNA from 1 species